rnacentral:rRNA from 1 species
GACGAACGCUGGCGGCGUGCUUAACACAUGCAAGUCGAGCGGUAAGGCCCUUUCGGGGGUACACGAGCGGCGAACGGGUGAGUAACACGUGGGUGACCUGCCCUCAGCUCUGGGAUAAGCCUGGGAAACUGGGUCUAAUACUGGAUAUGACUCCACGGUGCAUGUCGUGGGGUGGAAAGCCUUGUGCGGCUGAGGAUGGGCCCGCGGCCUAUCAGCUUGUUGGUGGGGNGAUGGCCUACCAAGGCGACGACGGGUAGCCGGCCUGAGAGGGCGACCGGCCACACUGGGACUGAGACACGGCCCAGACUCCUACGGGAGGCAGCAGUGGGGAAUCUUGCGCAAUGGGCGAAAGCCUGACGCAGCGACGCCGCGUGAGGGAUGA